rnacentral:tRNA from 1 species
GGGUCGGUAGAUCAACUUGGUUAGAUCGCUUCCCUGUCACGGAAGAGGUUGCGGGUUCGAGUCCCGUCCGACCCG